rnacentral:rRNA from 1 species
UACGAAGGGGGCUAGCGUUGCCCGGAAUUACUGGGCGUAAAGCGCGCGUAGGCGGCUCUCUAAGUCAGGGGUGAAAUCCUGGAGCUCAACUCCAGAACUGCCUUUGAUACUGAAGAUCUUGAGUUCGGGAGAGGUGAGUGGAACUGCGAGUGUAGAGGUGAAAUUCGUAGAUAUUCGCAGGAACACCAGUGGCGAAGGCGGCUCACUGGCCCGAUACUGACGCUGAGGCACGAAAGCGUGGGGAGCAAACAGG